rnacentral:rRNA from 1 species
UAGGGAAUAUUGCACAAUGGGGGAAACCCUGAUGCAGCGACGCCGCGUGAGCGAAGAAGUAUCUCGGUAUGUAAAGCUCUAUCAGCAGGGAAGAAGAUGACGGUACCUGACUAAGAAGCACCGGCUAAAUACGUGCCAGCAGCCGCGGUAAUACGUAUGGUGCAAGCGUUAUCCGGAUUUACUGGGUGUAAAGGGAGCGUAGACGGAGAAGCAAGUCUGGAGUGAAAGCCCGGGGCUCAACCCCGGGACUGCUUUGGAAACUGUUAUUCUUGAGUGCCGGAGAGGUAAGCGGAAUUCCUAGUGUAGCGGUGAAAUGCGUAGAUAUUAGGAGGAACACCAGUGGCGAAGGCGGCUUACUGGACGGUAACUGACGUUGAGGCUCGAAAGCGUGGGGAGCAAACAGG